rnacentral:rRNA from 1 species
ACAGGUGUAGCAAUACAUGCUGACGAGCGGGAAGGGAGAGUAAUGCUUCGGAAUCUACCCAAUGGCGGGGAAUAACCAGCCGAAAGGUUAGCUAAUACCGCAUAAGCCCUACGGGGGAAAGCAGGGGAUCGCAAGACCUUGCACCGAUGGAUGAGCCGAAGUCGGAUUAGCUAGUUGGUAGGGUAACGGCCUACCAAGGCGACGAUCCGUAGCUGGUCUGAGAGGACGACCAGCCACACUGGGACUGAGACACGGCCCAGACUCCUACGGGAGGCAGCAGUGGGGAAUAUUGGACAAUGGGGGAAACCCUGAUCCAGCGACGCCGCGUGUGUGAAGAAGGCCUGCGGGUUGUAAAGCACUUUUAGUGGGGAAGAAAUGUUCAUGGUUUAUACCCCUGGAUCUUGACGUAACCCAAAGAAAAAGCACCGGCUAACUCUGUGCCAGCAGCCGCGGUAAUACAGAGGGUGCAAGCGUUAAUCGGAAUUACUGGGCGUAAAGCGUGCGUAGACGGUUAUGUAAGUCGGGUGUGAAAGCCCCGGGCUCAACCCUGGGAAUUGCAUUCGAGACUGGAUAGCUAGGGUACGGAAGAGGGAAGCGGAAUUUCAGGUGUAGCGGUGAAAUGCGUAGAUAUCUUGAAGGAACACCAGUGGCGAAAGCGGGUUCCUGGUCCAGUACCGACGUUCAGGCACGAAAGCGUGGGGAGCAAACAGGAUUAGAUUUUUCUGGUAGUCCACGCCAUAAACGAUGAGGAACUAGACGUUGAGAGGGUAAGCCUCCCAGUGUCGUAGCUAACGCGCUAAGUUCUCCGCCUGGGGGAGUACGGGCCGCAAGGUUGAAACUCAAAAGGAAUUUGACGGGGAACCCGCACAAGCGGUGGGAAGCAUGUGGUUUAAUUCGAUGCCAACGCGAAGAACCCUUUACCUGGCUCUCUGACAUACCCUCUGGGAACCCUCUGAAGAAGAUUUUAGGGGGUGUGCCGCAAGGAGCCCCAGAGACAGGUGCUGCAUGGGCUGUCCUCAGCUCCUGUCGUGAGAUGUUGGGUUAAGUCCCGCAACGAGCGCAACCCUUGUCCUUAGUUGCCAGCAUUAAUUGGGCACUCU